AUGUCGGAGGUGACCCGGAGUCUGCUGCAGCGCUGGGGCGCCAGUCUUAGGAGAGGCGCCAACUUCGACUCUUGGGGCCAGCUGGUGGAGGCCAUAGACGAGUAUCAGAUAUUAGCAAGACACUUACAGAAGGAGGCCCAAGCUCAACACAAUAAUUCUGAAUUCACAGAAGAACAAAAGAAAAACCAUAGGCAAAAUUGCGACAUGUUUGGAUUUGCGAAGUGCAGCAUUACAGUGCACACAGUCCCAAGAAGAGUUUAAACUGGAGGACCUGAAGAAGAUAGAACCAAUCCUGAAGAAUAUUCUUACAUAUAAUAAAGAAUUCCCAUUUGAUGUUCAGCCUAUCCCAUUAAGACGGAUUUUAGCACCUGGUGAAGAAGAGAAUUUGGAAUUUGAAGAAGAUGAAGAAGGUGGUGCUGGAGCAGGACCUCCUGAUUCUUUCUCUGCUAGAGUUCCUGGUACUUUAUUGCCAUGGUUACCAUCGGAACCAGGGAUGACGUUACUCACCGUCAGGAUUAAGAAAAUUGGUUUGAAAGACGCGGGGCAGUGCAUGGAUCCCUACAUCACAGUCAGCGUGAAAGAUUUGAAUGGCAUAGAUUUAACUCCCGUACAAGAUACUCCUGUGGCUUCAAGAAAAGAAGAUACUUAUGUUCAUUUUAAUGUGGACAUUGAGCUCCAGAAACAUGUUGAAAAGUUAACCAAAGGUGAGGCCAUCUUCUUUGAAUUCAAACAUUAUAAGCCUAAAAAGAGGUUUACCAGCACCAAGUGUUUUGCCUUCAUGGAGAUGGAUGAAAUUAAACCUGGGCCAAUCGUAAUAGAACUAUACAAGAAACCCACUGAUUUUAAAAGAAAGAAAUUGCAAUUGUUGACCAAGAAACCACUUUAUCUUCAUCUACAUCAAAGUUUGCACAAGGAAUGAUCCUGAUACAAAUAACCAAGAACUUGUGUGAAUUUCCCACUCAGAAACCAUCAUAGCUCUGUGUAGCAUAAUCACCCUUCAACAGGCAGGAAAUGAGCCCUACCCGUGCCAGCUAACCAAGCAAGUCUAUUGCAGCUGGACCCCAGAUCAAAAGUUCAGCACGCCACUGACCUGUCACUCCUUUGGACACAGGUUUAUUGUAGAUUUGGAAACAUUUUCACUUUUCUAUUAAUUGUGCAAUUAAUAGUCUAUUUUCUCAUUGCCACUACCACCCUGUUUCCCAGACAGCACUGUUGUAGAUGUGCAGAACUUGAGACAAUGCAGCAAUAAGAAUGUGCUAGAGUUUACAUCUCUGCUCACUUCUGCUCCAGUGUGCUCUUCUGGUUUAAAUGCCACGCAGUGAGUUGAAGUGGGUAGAACUGCUCUGAGAGGAAUUGGACUAGUUACAUUGCCUAGCAAAGUCUCCUUAGAAGAGACCUAGCGUGAUGCCGUGGGUCUCCUGCAUAGAAAGUGUGACCUGGCCAAAUAAGAAUCCCACAUGGAGUGUUCCCCGGAUGACCAGAUUGAUUUCUGAAGAGAGCACAUGUAUAGUCAGGUGGAUUAUCUGUUCUUCUCUAUUGUACUGCUAAUUCUUUCUGGUAGUUCUAGGGUUAACGUUGGAACCAUCUCAGAAUAACUAUGGAUUUUAAAAUGUGUUUAGAGUAUCUUUUAAAUUGUAUCAUUUUGGAACAGUUGAGUCAGAUGUCAAGAUGUUGCGGGAUAAUUGCUGCUUUCCUAACCACCCAUUGUGAGACCGUAAGACCCAUACCUCUCCUUAGUAUGCAAAAAUCUGGAAAGACUGUCUAUUUUUUUUUAAUAUAGGUAGAUAGGAUUGCCAUUUAUGUCCUAUUUAGAUAUACAGUCAUUCAUCCAUAUGAAAAUAUGCAGGUCACAAGUUUAUUUUGAAUGGACUAUUUACCUUUGGUGUAACAAGGCAUAAAUAAAACUUU